rnacentral:snRNA from 1 species
GAAGAAAUUCAACCAAGCGCGGG